rnacentral:rRNA from 1 species
GACUGCCGUCGACAAGACGGAGGAAGGCGGGGAUGACGUCAAAUCAUCAUGCCCCUUAUGACCUGGGCUACACACGUGCUACAAUGGUUGGUACAACGGGAUGCUACCUCGCGAGAGGACGCCAAUCUCUUAAAACCAAUCUCAGUUCGGAUUGUAGGCUGCAACUCGCCUACAUGAAGUCGGAAUCGCUAGUAAUCGCGGAUCAGCAUGCCGCGGUGAAUACGUUCCCGGGCCUUGUACACACCGCCCGUCACACCACGGGAGUUUGCAACACCCGAAGUCGGUGAGGUAACCGCAAGGAGCCAGCCGCCGAAGGUGGGGUAGAUGACUGGGGUGAAGUCGUAACAAGGUAUCCGUACCGGAAGG